rnacentral:rRNA from 1 species
UACGAAGGGGGCUAGCGUUGCUCGGAAUCACUGGGCGUAAAGCGCACGUAGGCGGCUUUUUAAGUCAGGGGUGAAAUCCUGGAGCUCAACUCCAGAACUGCCUUUGAUACUGAGAAGCUUGAGUCCGGGAGAGGUGAGUGGAACUGCGAGUGUAGAGGUGAAAUUCGUAGAUAUUCGCAAGAACACCAGUGGCGAAGGCGGACUCACUGGCCCGGUACUGACGCUGAGGUGCGAAAGCGUGGG